rnacentral:rRNA from 1 species
GAUGAACGCUGGCGGCGUGCUUAACACAUGCAAGUCGAACGGUGAACGAGGGAGCUUGCUCCCUCCGGAUCAGUGGCGAACGGGUGAGUAACACGUGAGCAAUCUGCCCUGGACUCUGGGAUAAGCGUUGGAAACGACGUCUAAUACCGGAUACGAGGCGUGGGGGCAUCCCCAACGCCUGGAAAGAACUUCGGUCCAGGAUGAGCUCGCGGCCUAUCAGCUAGUUGGUGAGGUAACGGCUCACCAAGGCGACGACGGGUAGCCGGCCUGAGAGGGUGACCGGCCACACUGGGACUGAGACACGGCCCAGACUCCUACGGGAGGCAGCAGUGGGGAAUAUUGCGCAAUGGGCGAAAGCCUGACGCAGCGACACCGCGUGCGGGACGAAGGCCUUCGGGUCGUAAACCGCUUUCGGCAGGGACGAAGCGAAAGUGACGGUACCUGCAGAAGAAGGUCCGGCUAACUACGUGCCAGCCGCCGCGGUAAAAC